rnacentral:rRNA from 1 species
UGCGGAAGGAUCAUUACCGAGUGAGGGCCCUCUGGGUCCAACCUCCCACCCGUGUCUAUCGUACCUUGUUGCUUCGGCGGGCCCGCCGUUUCGACGGCCGCCGGGGAGGCCUUGCGCCCCCGGGCCCGCGCCCGCCGAAGACCCCAACAUGAACGCUGUUCUGAAAGUAUGCAGUCUGAGUUGAUUAUCGUAAUCAGUUAAAACUUUCAACAACGGAUCUCUUGGUUCCGGCAUCGAUGAAGAACGCAGCGAAAUGCGAUAAGUAAUGUGAAUUGCAGAAUUCAGUGAAUCAUCGAGUCUUUGAACGCACAUUGCGCCCCCUGGUAUUCCGGGGGGCAUGCCUGUCCGAGCGUCAUUGCUGCCCUCAAGCACGGCUUGUGUGUUGGGCCCCCGUCCCCCUCUCCCGGGGGACGGGCCCGAAAGGCAGCGGCGGCACCGCGUCCGGUCCUCGAGCGUAUGGGGCUUUGUCACCUGCUCUGUAGGCCCGGCCGGCGCCAGCCGACACCCAACUUUAUUUUUCUAAGGUUGACCUCGGAUCAGGUAGGGAUACCCGCUGAACUUAAGCAUAU